CCGGGCGACGGUUGUCCCGGUUUAAGCGUGUAGGUGUGUGUUCCAGGUAAAUCCGGUUCACUUUAACACUGAGGCGUGACGACGAGGCACUACGGUGCUGAAGCAACAAAUGCCCUGCUUCCAGGAAAAGCCUCUAAGCAUCAGGUAACAUCAAAUCGUACCCCAAACCGACACAGGUGGUCAGGUAGAGAAUACCAAGGCGCUUGAGAGAACUCGGGUGAAGGAACUAGGCAAAAUGGUGCCGUAACUUCGGGAGAAGGCACGCUGACACGUAGGUGAAGUGAUUUACUCAUGGAGCUGAAGUCAGUCGAAGAUACCAGCUGGCUGCAACUGUUUAUUAAAAACACAGCACUGUGCAAACACGAAAGUGGACGUAUACGGUGUGACGCCUGCCCGGUGCCGGAAGGUUAAUUGAUGGGGUCAGCGCAAGCGAAGCUCCUGAUCGAAGCCCCGGUAAACGGCGGCCGUAACUAUAACGGUCCUAAGGUAGCGAAAUUCCUUGUCGGGUAAGUUCCGACCUGCACGAAUGGCGUAAUGAUGGCCAGGCUGUCUCCACCCGAGACUCAGUGAAAUUGAACUCGCUGUGAAGAUGCAGUGUACCCGCGGCAAGACGGAAAGACCCCGUGAACCUUUACUAUAGCUUGACACUGAACAUUGAGCCUUGAUGUGUAGGAUAGGUGGGAGGCUUUGAAGUGUGGACGCCAGUCUGCAUGGAGCCGACCUUGAAAUACCACCCUUUAAUGUUUGAUGUUCUAACGUGGACCCGUUACCCGGGUUGCGGACAGUGUCUGGUGGGUAGUUUGACUGGGGCGGUCUCCUCCUAAAGAGUAACGGAGGAGCACGAAGGUUGGCUAAUCCUGGUCGGACAUCAGGAGGUUAGUGCAAUGGCAUAAGCCAGCUUGACUGCGAGCGUGACGGCGCGAGCAGGUGCGAAAGCAGGUCAUAGUGAUCCGGUGGUUCUGAAUGGAAGGGCCAUCGCUCAACGGAUAAAAGGUACUCCGGGGAUAACAGGCUGAUACCGCCCAAGAGUUCAUAUCGACGGCGGUGUUUGGCACCUCGAUGUCGGCUCAUCACAUCCUGGGGCUGAAGUAGGUCCCAAGGGUAUGGCUGUUCGCCAUUUAAAGUGGUACGCGAGCUGGGUUUAGAACGUCGUGAGACAGUUCGGUCCCUAUCUGCCGUGGGCGCUGGAGAACUGAGGGGGGCUGCUCCUAGUACGAGAGGACCGGAGUGGACGCAUCACUGGUGUUCGGGUUGUCAUGCCAAUGGCACUGCCCGGUAGCUAAAUGCGGAAGAGAUAAGUGCUGAAAGCAUCUAAGCACGAAACUUGCCCCGA
rnacentral:rRNA from 1 species